CAGGGAUUGCCUCAGUAACGGCGAGUGAAGCGGCAACAGCUCAAAUUUGAAAUCUGGCCUCUUUGGGGUCCGAGUUGUAAUUUGGAGAGGAUGUUUCGGGUACCGCCUCGGUUUAAAUUUCUUGGAACAGAAUGUCAGAGAGGGUGAGAAUCCCGUCUUGGACCGGUGGUAGGGCCCAUGUGAAACUCCUUCGACGAGUCGAGUUGUUUGGGAAUGCAGCUCAAAAUGGGUGGUAAAUUUCAUCUAAAGCUAAAUAUUGGCCAGAGACCGAUAGCGCACAAGUAGAGUGAUCGAAAGAUGAAAAGCACUUUGAAAAGAGAGUUAAACAGUAUGUGAAAUUGUUGAAAGGGAAGCGCUUGCAACCAGACUUGCGCGCGGCGGUUCCCCCUUCCUUUUGGUUGGGCUAUUCUGCCGUGUCCAGGCCAACAUCGGUUCUGGGGGUCGGUUAAAGGCCUUGGGAAUGUAUCUACCCUUCGGGCGUAGACUUAUAGCCCUUGGUGUCAUGCGGCCUCCCGGGAUCGAGGAACGCGCUUCGGCUCGGAUGUUGGCGUAAUGGUUGUCAGCGACCCGUCUUGAAACACGGACCAAGGAGUCUAACAUCUAUGCGAGUGUUUGGGUGUCAAACCCGGAACGCGAAAUGAAAGUGAACGGAGGUAGGAAGCUUCGGCUGCACUAUCGACCGAUCCUGAUGUCUUCGGAUGGAUUUGAGUAAGAGCAUAGCUGUUGGGACCCGAAAGAUGGUGAACUAUGCCUGAAUAGGGUGAAGCCAGAGGAAACUCUGGUGGAGGCUCGCAGCGGUUCUGACGUGCAAAUCGAUCGUCAAAUUUGGGUAUAGGGGCGAAAGACUAAUCGAACCAUUACAUCAGUACGUUAGGAAUUUCCAACUACUCGGUGGUUAAGUGUACCUGUUAAAGUGGGUGCAAGUGCCGGAUUCUGGCGCGACACUGUCAAAUUGCGGGGACGUCCUAAAGCUCUGGAGACCGCUUCGCCCACGAAAGUAGGUGGGAGCACCGGGUUAAUGGCCUCGGGUAUGGUAAAACCGCCAGAGAUAAAACAAUGGAUAAUCCGCAGCCAAGUCCUAAGGGCAGUUAUAUGCCUAUGGAUGCAGUUCACAGACUAAAUGGCAGUGGGCUCGACACGUUAUUUCAACGUGUUCCGGGCUUAAGUUAUAGUCGGUCCCCCGGGGAGACCCGGGCGUACGCGCUAAAUUUGCGGCGAAGAAUUUCCUCUACUGAGGAUUGCCGUGAACCUGAACGGUACGGACGCUUCUUUAGGGGCG
rnacentral:rRNA from 1 species